AGUGAACGCUGGCGGUAGGCCUAACACAUGCAAGUCGAACGGCAGCACAGUAAGAGCUUGCUCUUACGGGUGGCGAGUGGCGGACGGGUGAGGAAUACAUCGGAAUCUACUUUUUCGUGGGGGAUAACGUAGGGAAACUUACGCUAAUACCGCAUACGACCUACGGGUGAAAGCAGGGGAUCUUCGGACCUUGCGCGAUUGAAUGAGCCGAUGUCGGAUUAGCUAGUUGGCGGGGUAAAGGCCCACCAAGGCGACGAUCCGUAGCUGGUCUGAGAGGAUGGUCAGCCACACUGGAACGGAGACACGGUCCAGACUCCUACGGGAGGCAGCAGAGGCGAAUAUGGGACAAUGGGCGCAAGCCUGAUCCAGCCAUACCGCGUGGGUGAAGAAGGCCUUCGGGUUGUAAAGCCCUUUUUUUGGGAAAGAAAAGCAGCAGGUUGAUACCCCGCUGUUCUGACGGUACCCAAAGAAGAAGCACCGGCUAACUUCGUG
rnacentral:rRNA from 1 species